ensembl:lincRNA
AUUCAGUGUUGAUCUGCGGUCCUGGCGGGAGAGAGAGAAGUCGAUAGAACUUCACGGGAAGUAAGGCAAAAUUCCAUGACAUUCUUUAUUUUUUAAAAAGGCCCACAGACACAAGGAGUCGGAGCCUGGACUCUGAUGUCUGAAAAAGGAGGUGCUGUGGGUCCGGACUCCCCGGGUCUGAGGGAGGAGGCUGGGCUCUUUGGGGUGUGGUGUUAAGGGCGGAGGAUGGGUCAGGAGAGAUUCUGGGAGAUUGGGUGAGAGGAGGCACCCGGAGGAGGACGGUGGAGAGAGAAUUCCAGGAAGAAGAGCGGGGAUGACAGGCAGGAAGGACAGGUCCUGCGCUGGAGCGCACCCCUGUGCCAGCAGUGGCUGUGUGACCGCCCAGAGAUCUCUGGUGCCGGGGACUGUGGCCGGGCACUGAGUCACACGGACUCCUCCUCCCUUCCGGAAGUCCCUUCCCUGUUCCCCCACUUCCAGCCGCCAUCUCCCUCUGGUCCUUGGGACACUGGGUCCUCUGGGAGCGGGCUCAGCACUGGAUGCGAUUUCAUCCUGGCCUCCAUCGCUCAAGGGCCUCCUCCCUCCACCCUAGACCGCCAGAGAGCUCCCCGUCUCCGUUUCAAGGUAUGGGAGUGUGCACCUGCGACGCCGUAUACGGGAAGAAGGAGACGACCGAGGUCAGUGCCACAUCGGCCGCUCUGACCAAUGAGAAGAGACUCAUUGCUUCCAGGGACCAAUGGAAAAGCAUGAAUCAGUACCAUCUUGGAAUGGACAAACUAGGUUCUUUGAAGACAUUGGUCGAGUCCUGGGCAAAGGCAACGAUCACAGGGAAAAGGCGGGGCUUCCAGGUACCUGCUCACCAUUUUCAGUGUAAGCCUUGUGGUUAACGGUUCUGGCCAAGCCCAGGGAGGAAGUGCUUAGGGAUGGGUUGGGUCCCCUUUGUGCAUGAAAGGGGAGGGCAGGGUAAUCUUCAAAACCAGGGAAAGGAGCUAUGACAUUAUUUACAGCGCUCCUAGCAAAAAAUACAUGACUCCUUGUCCAAAACUCGCUGAGAACUUCAAGACAGUAACAGAACUGCAUUAAAUGGAGCCCUGGGGUUUCUGAGCCACAGACUCCAGGCCACCAUUCCAUGUUCGUGAAGCGCCCUCCCCAGGUUUCUCAGGAUUAGGCUUCUCUCCCCCAUCCCUUCGUCCCGCACAGACGCUGCCCACCUCCCCUCAGAGGGCAGGGACUUGGUGGGGGACAGCGACACGCAGACAACUAAGGGAAAGAACGGAGUGAAAGCGGGCAUGAGAAAAAGGUGUGGUGAAAUGUCAGAAACGGGGUGACUACAGAGGGACAGUCGGGGACAAAAGGGGAGAAGAGACAAUCUUACUGCCAGGACCAGGACCAGGGCAUUCACAUCAGGCAGAGGAACCUGAGCCAUCACAAUAAAUAAUACCUAAAUGCAGUACUUUAAAAGUCCAAUGUAGCCGGGCAUGGUGGUGCACGUCUGUAAUCCCAGCACUUGGGAGGCUGAGACAGGAGGAUCACUGUGAGUUGGAGACCAGCCUGGGCUACACAGAGAGUUCCAGGUCAGUCUCAACUACAUAGUGA